CCGCACGCGUACUACAAUGCUCGAGGCAAAAGGUUGCAAAGUUUAAAGACUAAGCUAUUCACUAACCUCGAGCGUGUUCGAGAUUGGGGCUUGGAAUUGUUCCCCAUGAACGAGGAAUGUCUUGUAAACGCGCGUGAGAAGCGCGCGCUGACUGUGU
rnacentral:rRNA from 1 species